rnacentral:rRNA from 1 species
UCUCAAGAAAAGAAUUUAGUCCAACCUAAAAUAAUGUCAACCUACAUACCUUCCCCUUGUUUUAGAGCAAUUCAAAUGAGGUACAGCCCAUUUGACACAGGAUCCAACCUUCACUAACGGGUAAUACUUAAUUUACACCUACAAGUAGGCCUAAAAGCAGCCACCUUUUAAAAAGCGUCAAAGCUUAACUUCAUGUACCUUAAUUCCAAACCCCCUACAGACCCCUUUAAUAAUAUUGAGAACUUCUAUAAUUCUAUAGAACCUUUUAUGCUAAAACUAGUAACAAGAAAUACCCCUCUCAUCAAUGCAAACAUAACCCAGCAAGAACCUAUCACUGGCAACUAACAGAAUUAAAUAGAUGUAGCAACCUUACUAGAAAACCCUACCUUAAACUUACUGUUAACCUAACACCAGAGCAUUUCAAGAAAGAUUAAAAGAAAAAGAAGGAACUCGGCAAACAAUUAACCUCGCCUGUUUACCAAAAACAUCGCCUCUUGCCCCUAUAAGAGGUCCAGCCUGCCCAGUGACCCUGUUCAACGGCCGCGGUAUCCUAACCGUGCAAAGGUAGCGUAAUCACUUGUUUUCUAAAUGGAGACUAGUAUGAAAGGCAUCACGAAGGUUAAACUGUCUCCUCUUUCUAAUCA